GACGAACGCUGGUGGCGUGCCUAACACAUGCAAGUCGAGCGAAGUGAGUACUACGGUACGAACUUAGCGGCGGACGGGUGAGUAACGCGUGGACAAUCUACCCUGUAGACUGGGAUAACACCUCGAAAGGGGUGCUAAUACCGGAUAAUGUCGAGAAGCGGCAUCGCUUUUCGAAGAAAGGAGAGAAUCCGCUAUAGGAGGAGUCCGCGUCCCAUUAGCUAGUUGGUGAGGGUAACGGCCCACCAAGGCGACGAUGGGUAGCCGGCCUGAGAGGGUGAACGGCCACACUGGAACUGAGACACGGUCCAGACUCCUACGUGAGGCAGCAGUGGGGAAUAUUGUGCAAUGGGGGAAACCCUGACACAGCAACGCCGCGUGAGCGAAGAAGGCCUUCGGGUUGUAAAGCUCAAUAGUAUGGGAAGAUAAUGACGGUACCAUACGAAAGCCCCGGCUAACUACGUGCCAGCCGCCGCGGUAAAAC
rnacentral:rRNA from 1 species